GGCCAGGGCGGCAGCUACACAUGCAGUCGAGCGAACCUUCGGGUUAGCGGCGGACGGGUGAGUAACGCGUGGGAACGUACCCUCUUCUGCGGGAUAGCCACUGGAAACGGUGAGUAAUACCGCAUACGCCCUUCGGGGGAAAGAUUUAUCGGAGGAGGAUCGGCCCGCGUUGGAUUAGGUAGUUGGUGGGGUAAUGGCCUACCAAGCCUACGAUCCAUAGCUGGUUUUAGAGGAUGAUCAGCCACACUGGGACUGAGACACGGCCCAGACUCCUACGGGAGGCAGCAGUGGGGAAUCUUAGACAAUGGGCGCAAGCCUGAUCUAGCCAUGCCGCGUGAGUGACGAAGGCCUUAGGGUCGUAAAGCUCUUUCGCCAGAGAUGAUAAUGACAGUAUCUGGUAAAGAAACCCCGGCUAACUCCGUGCCAGCAGCCGCGGUAAUACGGAGGGGGUUAGCGUUGUUCGGAAUUACUGGGCGUAAAGCGCACGUAGGCGGAUUGGAAAGUUGGGGGUGAAAUCCCAGGGCUCAACCCUGGAACUGCCUCCAAAACUCCCAGUCUGGAGUUCGAGAGAGGUGAGUGGAAUUCCGAGUGUAGAGGUGAAAUUCGUAGAUAUUCGGAGGAACACCAGUGGCGAAGGCGGCUCACUGGCUCGAUACUGAC
rnacentral:rRNA from 1 species